AUUGAACGCUGGCGGCAGGCUUAACACAUGCAAGUCGAACGAGUGGAGGAAGGGUGAGUAAUGCUUGGGAAUCUAGCUUAUGGAGGGGGAUAACUAAGGGAAACUGUAGCUAAUACCGCGUACCAUAGGAUGAGCCCAAGGGGGAUUAGGUAGUUGGUGGGGUAAAGGCGCACCAAGCCGACGCUCACUAGCUGGGCUGAGAGGAUGACCAGCCACACUGGGACUGAGACACGGCCCAGACUCCUACGGGAGGCAGCAGUGGGGAAUAUUGCGCAAUGGCGGCAACCGUACGCAGCCACGCCGCGUGAAUGAAGAAGGCCUUCGGGUUGUAAAGUUCUUUCGGUAGCGAGGCGUUAACUACAGAAUAAGCACCGGCUAACUCCGUGCCAGCAGCCGCGGUAAUUC
rnacentral:rRNA from 1 species